GAACGCACAUUGCGCCCCUUGGUAUUCCAUGGGGCAUGCCUGUUCGAGCGUCAUUUGUAUCUUAAGCUUUGCUUAGUGUUGGGUGAUUGUCUGCAUGUAGUGCAGACUCGCCUUGAAUCUAUUGGCCGCCGAUAGUCUAGUAUGCGAGCGCAGCACAUUUGCGCACCGUACCCGUCUUAUUAGCCACCAUCAAGUACAAUAUCAACGUUUGACCUCGGAUCAGGUAGGGAUACCCGCUGAACUUAAG
rnacentral:misc_RNA from 2 species